AUUGAACGCUGGCGGAAUGCUUUACACAUGCAAGUCGAACGGCAGCACGGACUUCGGUCUGGUGGCGAGUGGCGAACGGGUGAGUAAUAUAUCGGAACGUAUCCAAUAAUGGGGGAUAACUAAUCGAAAGGUGGGCUAAUACCGCAUACGUCCUACGGGAGAAAGCUAGGGACCUUCGGGCCUGGCGUUAAUGGAGCGGCCGAUAUCGGAUUAGCUAGUUGGUGAGGUAAAGGCUCACCAAGGCGACGAUCCGUAGCUGGUCUGAGAGGACGACCAGCCACACUGGAACUGAGACACGGGCCAGACUCCUACGGGAGGCAGCAGUGGGGAAUUUUGGACAAUGGGCGAAAGCCUGAUCCAGCCAUUCCGCGUGAGUGAAGAAGGCCUUCGGGUUGUAAAGCUCUUUCGCAAGAGAAGAAAACUUACCCUCUAACAUAGGGUGAGGUUGACGGUAUCUUGAUAAGAAGCACCGGCUAACUACGUGCCAGCCGCCGCCGUAA
rnacentral:rRNA from 1 species